AGUCAGGUCCAUAAAUAUUGGGACAUCGACACAAUUCUAAUCUUUUUGGCUCUAUACACCACCACAAUGGAUUUGAAAUGAAACGAACAAGAUGUGCUUUAACUGCAGACUUUCAGCUUUAAUUUGAGGGUAUUUGCAUCCAAAUCAGGUGAACGAUGUAGGAAUUACAACAGUUUGUAUAUGUGCCUCCCACUUUUUAAGGGACCAAAAGUAAUGGGACAAUUGGCUGCUCAGCUGUUCCAUGGCCAGGUGUGUGUUAUUCCCUCAUUAUCCCAUUAACAAGGAGCAGAUAAAAGGUCCAGAGUUCAUUUCAAGUGUGCUAUUUGCAUUUGGAAUCUGUUGCUGUCAACUCUCAAUAUGAGAUCCAAAGAGCUGUCACUAUCAGUGAAGCAAGCCAUCAUUAGGCUGAAAAAACAAAACAAACCCAUCAGAGAGAUAGCAAAAACAUUAGGUGUGGCUAAAUCAACUGUUUGGAACAUUCUUAAAAAGAAAGAACGCACCGGUGAGCUCAGCAACACCAAAAGACCUGGAAGACCACGGAAAACAACUGUGGUGGAUGACCGAAGAAUUCUUUCCCUGGUGAAGAAAACACCCUUCACAACAGUUGGCCAGAUCAAGAACCCUCUCCAGGAGGUAGGUGUAUGUGUGUCAAAGUCAACAAUCAAGAGAAGACUUCACCAGAGUGAAUACAGAGGGUUCACCACAAGAUGUAAACCAUUGGUGAGCCUCAAAAACAGGAAGGCCAGAUUAGAGUUUGCCAAACAACAUCUAAAAAAGCCUUCACAGUUCUGGAACAACAUCCUAUGGACAGAUGAGACCAAGAUCAACUUGUACCAGAGUGAUGGGAAGAGAAGAGUAUGGAGAAGAAAAGGAACUGCUCAUGAUCCAAAGCAUACCACCUCAUCAGUGAAGCGUGGUGGUGGUAGUGUCAUGGCGUGGAACUGGUUCUCUUGUAUUUAUUGAUGAUGUGACUGCUGACAAAAGCAGCAGGAUGAAUUCUGAAGUGUUUCGGGCAAUAUUAUCUGCUCAUAUUCAGCCAAAUGCUUCAGAACUCAUUGGACGGCGCUUCACAGUGCAGAUGGACAAUGACCCGAAGCAUACUGCGAAAGCAAGAGUUUUUUAAGGGAAAGAAGUGGAAUGUUAUGCAAUGGCCAAGUCAAUCACCUGACCUGAAUCCGAUUGAGCAUGCAUUUCACUUGCUGAAGACAAAACUGAAGGGAAAAUGCCCUAAGAACAAGCAGGAACUGAAGACAGUUGCAGUAGAGGCCUGGCAGAGCAUCACCAGGGAUGGAACCCAGCGUCUGGUGAUGUCUAUGCGUUCCAGACUUCAGGCUGUAAUUGACUGCAAAGGAUUUGCAACCAAGUAUUAAAAAGUGAAAGUUUGAUUUAUGAUUGUUAAUCUGUCCCAUUACUUUUGGUCCCUUAAAAAGUGGCAGGCACAUAUACAAACUGUUGUAAUUCCUACACCGUUCACCUGAUUUGGAUGUAAAUACCCUCAAAUUAAAGCUGAAAGUCUGCAGUUAAAGCACAUCUUGUUCAUUUCAUUUCCAAUCCAUUGUGGUGGUGUAUAGAGCCAAAAAGAUUAGAAAUGUGUCGAUGUCCCAAUAUUUAUGGACCUGACUGUUUGGGCUAAUUCAUAAU